rnacentral:rRNA from 1 species
AUUGCAGUAGGGAAUCUUCGGCAAUGGACGAAAGUCUGACCGAGCGACGCCGCGUGCGGGAUGAAGGCCUUCGGGUUGUAAACCGCUGUCGAGGGGAAUCAAAUGCAAGGGGGUUCUCCCCCCUGCUUGAGAGAACCCUGGAGGAAGGGGAGGCUAAGCUCGUGCCAGCAGCCGCGGUAAGACGAGCUCCCCAAACGUUAUUCGGUAUCACUGGGCUUAAAGAGUUCGUAGGCGGCGAAGUAGGUGAGGUGUGAAAGCCCUCGGCUCAACCGAGGAACUGCGCUUCAAACCACUUUGCUAGAGGGAGAUAGGGGUAAGCGGAACAGAUGGUGGAGCGGUGAAAUGCAUUGAUAUCAUCUGGAACACCGGUGGCGAAAGCGGCUUACUGGGUCUUUUCUGACGCUGAGGAACGAAAGCUAGGGUAGCGAACGGGAUUAGAUACCCCGGUAGUCCACGCCGUAAACGAUGAGUGCUAAGUGUUAGGGGGUUUCCGCCCCUUAGUGCUGCAGCUAACGCAUUAAGCACUCCGCCUGGGGAGUACGGCCGCAAGGCUGAAACUCAAAGGAAUUGACGGAAUC